AGAUGACCCAAGCUGAACUGUCCCACCAAACUCAAUGACAGGGGGGCGCUACCAUCGUUCAACUAUAUGGUUUCCAACAUGGCAAAAAUCGGAACCAGCGAUCCGGUAUUGACGGUGGCGCCCCACUGUCAAUGUCAUGCAUAGGACCAGUUCAGUAUUUUGGAAGUAGUAUUAAAGAAUGAAGUCUUCAAAAUUAACAGAAUAACCGAACUCCACUACCUACCCCAUAAUGCGAGGUUUACAGUAAUUAUUCAACGUACAUGAAGCAGUCAGAAAGUUUAUUGAGAUUUGAGAAAUAAAGUUACACUCAUAAGUAGCAAAACAGUGGAUGAAGAAGUGUGGGAUUAUGAGUGAUUAUUUCAUUCUAAAGCAGACAUAAGCAAGUCUCGCUCACUGUCAUGAAAAUUCACAAUAACAAUCAGCAAAAAACUGCAAGGAUACUGGCUAGGCUAACCAAUUCAUGGAAUUCUGUUAGUGUUUGAAAUUAUCAAUAGCUAUUGUAAAACAAAAGUUUUCCAAAUAAAGAUUUUGUAAAUAA